CUACGGGAGGCAGCAGUGGGGAAUAUUGCACAAUGGGGGGAACCCUGAUGCAGCGACGCCGCGUGGGUGAAGGAGCACCCCGGUGCGUAAAGCCCUAUCGGCAGGGAAGAAACAGACGGUACCUGACUAAGAAGCCCCGGCUAACUACGUGCCAGCAGCCGCGGUAAUACGUAGGGGGCAAGCGUUAUCCGGAUUCACUUGGUGUAAAGGGAGCGUAGACGGCGACGCCAGUCUUGAGUGAAAGCCCCGGGCCCCACCCCCG
rnacentral:rRNA from 1 species